CCUACGGGAGGCAGCAGUGGGGGAUAUUGCACAAUGGGGGAAACCCUGAUGCAGCGACGCCGCGUGAGUGAAGAAGUAUUUCGGUAUGUAAAGCUCUAUAAGCAGGGAAGAAAAAGGACGGUACCUGACUAAGAAGCCCCGGCUAACUACGUACCAUCAGCCGCGGUAAUCCGUAGGGGGCAAGCGUUAUCCGGAUUUACUGGGUGUAAAGGGAGCGGAGACGGCAAUCCAAGUCGGAAGUGAAAUACCCGGGCUCAACCUGGGAAUUGCUUUGGAAACUGUAUGGCGUGAGUGCUGGAGAGGUAAGCGGAAUUCCUAGUGUAGCAGUGAAAUGCGUAGAUAUUAGGAGGAACACCAGUGGCGAAGGCAGCUUACUGGACAGUAACUGACGUUGAGGCUCGAAAGCGUGGGGAGCAAACAGGAUUAGAUACCCGUGUAGUC
rnacentral:rRNA from 1 species